CGGCAACCUUUCCUCUGGACAGUUUUUGAUAAAUCUCCCCUAUAAAGCUCACUUGGAAAUUGGAAGAUGUCCAGCAGUGCAUUUAGUUCAGAACUGACAGAAACCUGUAGCACUGAGACAGACUCAGGGCUCUAUGGAGGCCAUAUCAUCACUUCCAGGACUCCUUCUUCAAUACAUUGAAGAUCUUGAGAAGUUCUUAAAGAGUACUUUAGUUGUGCCGCAAACACAUAUCUCUGUACAGCCUGAAUACUGUGCUGAGAAAGGGAGGGGUGCUCCGUAUCAAGCCCCCACUCUAUUAGCUGAAGAUGAGAACCGCAGCCAAGGCUCUGGAGGACUGUAGAUAAAAUAGGAACAGGGGAGAGGCAGGCUGAGCCCCAGUUUAACGACUAAGGGGGCACAUUUAUCAUUUUCUUUAGAGCCUUUUUUCCUUUUCUUAUAUUUGGAGCAUGAAAUGUGCAUCUGCAUCUGCAUCAACGCAGUUUUCACUUUGCAGUGGUAAGGAAUUUAUCAAGUGCAAAUGUCACACAAAAAGUCACAAAGCCUUCUGAAACACACUGCAGAACUACACCAGCCCAAACCUGGCAUACAAAACUGCCUUAGUGAAGAGGAGGAAUCAUACAAAAUGGUGGUCUGAACUGAUUUAUUGUUUUUUGCAUAUAUGUGCCAAAUUGUCACAUCUUUUUGAUCAACUCCCCUGCAAUAGCAUGAUAAAUAUGUUGCACGUAAGCAGAACUGAAGCAAAAAUAAAUUACUUCAAAACACACUUUCACACUGACAACAAUAAUAA